GACGAACGCUGGCGGCGUGCUUAACACAUGCAAGUCGAACGGAAAGGCCCUUCGGGGUACUCGAGUGGCGAACGGGUGAGUAACACGUGGGUGAUCUGCCCUGCACUUUGGGAUAAGCCUGGGAAACUGGGUCUAAUACCGAAUAGGACCACGCGCUUCAUGGUGUGUGGUGGAAAGCUUUUGCGGUGUGGGAUGGGCCCGCGGCCUAUCAGCUUGUUGGUGGGGUAAUGGCCUACCAAGGCGACGACGGGUAGCCGGCCUGAGAGGGUGACCGGCCACACUGGGACUGAGAUACGGCCCAGACUCCUACGGGAGGCAGCAGUGGGGAAUAUUGCACAAUGGGCGCAAGCCUGAUGCAGCGACGCCGCGUGAGGGAUGACGGCCUUCGGGUUGUAAACCUCUUUCACCAGGGACGAAGCGUAAGUGACGGUACCUGGAGAAGAAGCACCGGCCAACUGCGUG
rnacentral:rRNA from 1 species